UUCUAGCGAUUGUAUACUUUUUAUACAUUCAUAGUAAUAUUUUGGAUAUGUUUUGUUGAAGAUUAAGAUUUUUGUAUUGCUCAAUUUAAGUUCAAUAAGUAACAUAGAUCACAAAGUUUGCUAAUUUAUAUUGAUGCUUUAAGACUCCUUACAUGACGUUUCCGCAACACACCCGAGGUCAAAGUUCGUAUAUAUUAAAAUGCAACAAUGUGUAUAGUUCGUUAUUGAGGAUAAUGUAUAGAUUAUUUUACAUAGGGAAAGAUAUUUAUACGCUAUAGUUAAUUGUAACUGUUUAAUUUCAACUUAUGUUUACAUUAAAUGACAUCCUUAAGCCAACUUUACUAAUAUUGAUCGCUAUUUUCGUGUUAUACAUCUAUAAUCAUCUUGUUGUUAAAGAUUUGAAGCUUUGCUGCGAUAAUACAGCAGAGAAUUAUUCUCAUUAUGAUUUGGUCGUUGGAAUACUUUCAUCGCGCGGCAACUUUGAUUUGAGGCAAAGUUUACGUGAAUCAUGGGUUGGCUAUGCAAGACGACAUUCAUCUCUAAAUAAAAGCGAAGAUCAGACAGUCUUGAUGGAAAUAUGUGUUGCUAUCUCUCAUGGAGAUUUUACCGUCAUAGAGGCUGGAACGAGUGCAUGAUCAAACGUGUUUAUAUGUUUGUCAUAUUGAUGUUUAGACUACGAAAAUGAAGUAAUUGCUUACAAACGAGCAAAUGAAGAAAAUUUGAGAUAUUUUCACAGUGGAUCUAUCGGAUGGGACUUUGAUAUCAUCCGUCCCAUUAUUUUGACUCGUCUUGGCAUCUCUUUAUCAUCGUUGAAUUCAAAAAGAAACUCUUCUGUUCGACUCUACGACAGAACAACUAAGAGCGAAAUUAUAUCUGUUUAUUUCUCUUUCCAAGACCCUGGUACAACAGAAAACGGUUCGUCGUUUAAAGCAAUUGAAAACUUUAUUUUGCCAAAGCUGAAAAUGAAAUGAUGCUUACCGUAUCAUGGCAAUGAUAGCGAGACGAAACUUGGCGUAAGUUAUUUCCUUUGGGAAAUUCAAACUACUCGAAGACACUUGCCUUUGUACAUAUGCAACAUAAUAUUUGUACAUAGGUAAACUGAACAAGAAUAAAAAAGAAAAAACAUUCAAAA